GACGAACGCUGGCGGCGUGCUUAACACAUGCAAGUCGAACGGAAAGGCGCUGCUCUUGUGGGGCGCUCGAGUGGCGAACGGGUGAGUAACACGUGAGUAACCUGCCCUUGACUUUGGGAUAACUCCAGGAAACUGGGGCUAAUACCGGAGAGGAUCUCCUGCUGCAUGGGGGGGGUUGGAAAGUGUCGGCUGUUGUGGAUCGACUCGCGGCUUAUCAGCUAGUUUGUCGGGUAGUGGCUUUCCAAGGCUUUGACGGGUAGCCGGCAUGGGAGGGUGACCGGGCACCAGGGGACUAAGGGACGCACCAGACGGCUACGGGAGGCAGUAGGCGGGAGCAUGACGCAACGGGGGGACGCCUGUGAUAGCGGCCCCGGGUGCGUGAUACCGGCCUUCUGGGUGUGAACCGCUGUGGAAGGAGACAUAGAGGGAUUGACGGUAACGAGUCAAGAAGCACCGGCUAACUACGUG
rnacentral:rRNA from 1 species